rnacentral:rRNA from 1 species
CAAAAGGUACACCUGUUUGAGUG